rnacentral:rRNA from 1 species
AUUGAACGCUAGCGGGAUGCCUUACACAUGCAAGUCGAACGGCGUGGCGAACGGGUGAGUAAUAUAUCGGAACGUGCCCAGUAGCGGUGGAUAACUACGCGAAAGCGUAGCUAAUACCGCAUACUAUUGGAGCAGCCGACAUCGAAUUAGCUUGUUGGUGGGGUAACGGCUCACCAAGGCGACGAUCAGUAGCCGGUUUGAGCGGACGACCAGCCACACUGGGACGGAGACACGGCCCAGACUCCUACGGGAGGCAGCAGUGGGGAAUUUUGGACAAUGGGUGAAACCCUGAUCAAGCCAUCCCGCGUGUGCGAUGAAGGCCUUCGGGUUGUAAAGCACUUUUGGCAGGAAAGCGGUACCUGCAGAAUAAGCACCGGCUAACUACGUGCCAGCAGCCGCGGUAAUUC